rnacentral:rRNA from 1 species
GGCGGACGGGUGAGUAACGCGUGGGAAUGUGCCCUUCUCUACGGAAUAGCCACUGGAAACGGUGAGUAAUACCGUAUACGCCCUCAGGGGGAAAGAUUUAUCGGAGAAGGAUCAGCCCGCGUUAGAUUAGGUAGUUGGUGGGGUAACGGCCUACCAAGCCUACGAUCUAUAGCUGGUUUUAGAGGAUGAUCAGCCACACUGGGACUGAGACACGGCCCAGACUCCUACGGGAGGCAGCAGUAGGGAAUCUUGGACAAUGGGGGCAACCCUGAUCCAGCCAUGCCGCGUGAGUGAAGAAGGCCCUAGGGUCGUAAAGCUCUUUCGCCUGUGAUGAUAAUGACAGUAGCAGGUAAAGAAACCCCGGCUAACUCCGUGCCAGCAGCCGCGGUAAUACGGAGGGGGUUAGCGUUGUUCGGAAUUACUGGGCGUAAAGCGCGCGUAGGCGGAUUGGAAAGUUGGGGGUGAAAUCCCGGGGCUCAACCCCGGAACUGCCUUCAAAACUCCCAGUCUAGAGUUCGAGAGAGGUGAGUGGAAUUCCGAGUGUAGAGGUGAAAUUCGUAGAUAUUCGGAAGAACACCAGUGGCGAAGGCGGCUCACUGGCUCGAUACUGACGCUGAGGUGCGAAAGUGUGGGGAGCAAACAGGAUUAGAUACCCUGGUAGUCCACACCGUAAACGAUGAAUGCCAGUCGUCGGAUAGUAUACUAUUCGGUGACACACCUAACGGAUUAAGCAUUCC